CUGGCUCGCUCCGUUAUUUUGUCCAAGCGCGUUCAAAAUCCACUGAGAGCAGUUCGAAUCGAUGAGAUACGUGCUUGAUUGGGUAUCCCUUGUUGUAAUAAUGUACAUCAGAAGGAGGGGAUGGACUCGUGCUGUGCCUCAGCUGCUCUGAGAGCAUGGAUCAGCAGCUAUUGCCAAACACUUUCUUGGCUGCUAAUAGCACUUUUUCCUCUUCUUUGUGUGGCUGAUAGUAGCUAUUUAAAACAGCAACAGCGAAUCAGACGAGUCCUCCUUACUGCAAGAUGCCUUCUUCUGUUCAAGUGAGUCAGGCACAAAAUCCGAAUCAUGCGCUCUCCUUGUUUUUGUUGAUACAGAAUGGAAAGAAUAAUAGGCUAGUUUUUUUUUUAACGAUCAUCUUCAAGAUAGAAUACAAUUGGUCCGCCGUCUGCUGCAAAGGUUAUGACUGUGGACGCAAAUUAUUUUCUCGAAAACCAGAACGCGGGCCAUGGGUCACGGGAGGUCACUGCCUCUCUCUGUGUGCCAAUAACAGACACAGACGGUUAACAACCGGGCACAGCAUCAAAGAGCCAAGGUAUGUCCGCACAUACACACACAUUCAGGCACACGCACGCACACACACAAACAUACACACACACACGCACACACACACACACACACAGCCAGCCCACUCUACGUCUCCUCAGGUCUCUGUCUCCCUCUAACUGAGUGAACGCAUCACUCUGUGCUAAGUGGAAGUCUCACUCACCUCUCAUCCUCUAACGAUGUCAUCCUUCCCUCCACAACUCACACAUCACACAUCAGUUAGUUAUUUUGGGUGGGGGGCAGAGGGAGGGGCCCUGACAGUGAGGGAGGAAGUACACAGGAAGUACAUUAGUUAUCAGUCUCUGUCGUCUCCACCUUUUCAGAUCCCAUCAGUAUUAAACUGCUCUGGAAGCAGCCCCUCUCUUUUUCCCUCUUAAAAGUCUUCCGUGCGCCACUUUAAACCAGGCCUCAGAUCUAAAUGACACUUCGCACUACACAUGCAUGAAGACAAGUGAAUUAAAUAUUGAAAUAAAAGACAGCAAAAAAAAAAAAAGAGGACAGGAAAAAGAGGAAGAAAGUCAUUGUUCCUGUGGCAGGUCAAAAGGGAUUUAUUGGCAAGAGGUGGAGUUUAGUAAGGUUCACAGGAAUUAGUCUUUCCCUUAAAACAUGGUCACGUGAUCUUGUAAGAGUAGGUAGCCUAUGAUCAAGCAGAAUAAUCAUCACAUUCAGCUAGUCAAAAAAGGUACAAUGGAUUCUAAUUUGCCGGACAUCAGUGAUUUUAUAGAGAACAAUAAACAAAUAUCUUCCUAUCUUCCUCAUUUUUGUUCAUGAUUUUUAAAUGGCCUAAUUUACGCAUCCAAUGUGCUGUGUGUCCCUCCAGCGUCUCCGUACAUCUAGGGGGUUGAAGGGGGAUAAAACAAGAGUGUGUGUGUGGGGGGGGUCUGCAUGCUUUGCCAUCAUUCGGAACCUCCGUGACCACACAAAUUAUUAUUCUAGUCAGCCGUGUGUGCAGAACCUGCCUGCUAGUUGUGCGAAUGCUUAUUUAAGCUGUGUAACUGACAUCCAUAUGGUUUUCAUCAUCAUAAAGAAACGUUUGAGGGGGUUAUGUUUUUACUAGGCAGGAGCAGAGACUUGUCUGUCGAGCCAUGAUUUGACUAGCCUUCCGGAGGUUUAUGUGUGUAACAUUCUGAAUAUUAAAUAUGCAAUUGAAAUGUGAAGUAGAGUAUAACUGUAAUGCAUUUUUCUUGUUGAAUCUAAAAAUGACAAUAAAUGAGCAUUUGACA